CCUACGGGUGGCAGCAGUGAGGAAUAUUGGUCAAUGGGCGCGAGCCUGAACCAGCCAAGUAGCGUGAAGGAUGACUGCCCUAUGGGUUGUAAACUUCUUUUAUAAAGGAAUAAAACGAGGCACGUGUGCCUUUUUGCAUGUACUUUAUUAAUAAGGAUCGGCUAACUCCGUGCCAGCAGCCGCGGUAAUACUGAGGCUCCGAGCGUUAUCCGGAUUUAUUGGGUUUAAGGGGAGCGUAGAUGGGUUGUUAAGUCAGUUGUGAAAGUUUGCGGCUCAACCGUAAAAUUGCAAUUGAUACUGGCAGUCUUGAGUACAGUUGAGGUAGGCGGAAUUCGUGGUGUAGCGGUGAAAUGCUUAGAUAUCACGAAGAACUCCGAUUGCGAAGGCAGCUUACUAAACUGCCACUGACAUUGAUGCUCGAAAGUGUGGGUAUCAAACAGGAUUAGAUACCCCAGUAGUC
rnacentral:rRNA from 1 species